GAUGAACGCUGGCGGCGUGCUUAACACAUGCAAGUCGAACGAACCUUCGGGUUAGUGGCGGACGGGUGAGUAACGCGUGAGAAUUUGCCCUCAGGAGGGGGAUAACGGCUGGAAACGGCCGCUAAUACCCCAUAUGCCGCGAGGUGAAAUGAAUUUCGCCUGAGGAUGAGCUCGCGUUUGAUUAGCUAGUUGGUGGGGUAAGAGCCUACCAAGGCAUCGAUCAGUAGCUGGUUUGAGAGGAUGAUCAGCCACACUGGGACUGAGACACGGCCCAGACUCCUACGGGAGGCAGCAGUGGGGAAUUUUCCGCAAUGGGCGAAAGCCUGACGGAGCAACGCCGCGUGAGGGAUGAAGGCCUUUGGGCUGUAAACCUCUUUUAUCAAGGAAGAAGAUUUGACGGUUCGUGGUGAAUAAGCCACGGCUAAUUCCGUGCCAGCAGCCCCGG
rnacentral:rRNA from 1 species